rnacentral:rRNA from 1 species
CCGGAUUUAUAUGGGUUUAAAGGGAGCGUAGGCCGCCCCUUAAGCGUGUUGUGAAAUGCCGCGGCUCAACCGUGGCACUGCAGCGCGAACUGGGGGGCUUGAGUGCACGCAACGCAGGCGGAAUUCGUGGUGUAGCGGUGAAAUGCUUAGAUAUCACGAAGAACUCCGAUUGCGAAGGCAGCUUGCGGGAGUGCGACUGACGCUGAAGCUCGAAGGUGCGGGUAUCGAACAGGAUUAGAUACCCUGGUAGUCCGCACAGUAAACGAUGGAUGCCCGCUGUGUGCCCAAGUGGUACGCGGCCAAGCGAAAGCGUUAAGCAUCCCACCUGGGGAGUACGCCGGCAACGGUGAAACUCAAAGGAAUUGACGGGGGCCCGCACAAGCGGAGGAACAUGUGGUUUAAUUCGAUGAUACGCGAGGAACCUUACCCGGGCUUGAAUUGCAGAAGACGGAUCCAGAGAUGGUGACUCCCUUCGGGGCUUCUGUGAAGGUGCUGCAUGGUUGUCGUCAGCUCGUGCCGUGAGGUGUCGGCUUAAGUGCCAUAACGAGCGCAACCCCUGUCCUUAGUUGCCAUCAGGUAGAGCUGGGCACUCUGAGGAUACUGCCACCGCAAGGUGUGAGGAAGGUGGGGAUGACGUCAAAUCAGCACGGCCCUUACGUCCGGGGCUACACACGUGUUACAAUGGGUGGUACAGAGAGUAGAGUGCCCGCAAGGUCAUUCCAAUCAAGAAAGCCAUCCCCAGUUCGGAUUGGGGUCUGCAACCCGACCCCAUGAAGCUGGAUUCGCUAGUAAUCGCGCAUCAGCCAUGGCGCGGUGAAUACGUUCCCGGGCCUUGUACACCCCGCCCGUCAAGCCAUGAAAGCCGGGGGUGCCUGAAGUCCGUGACCGAGAGGGGCGGCCUAGGGCAAAACUGGUAAUUGGGGCUAAGUCGUAACAAGGUAGCCGUACCGGAAGGUGCGGCUG